rnacentral:rRNA from 1 species
UACAGAGGUCCCAAGCGUUGUUCGGAUUCACUGGGCGUAAAGGGUGCGUAGGUGGUCGGGUAAGUCUGAUGUGAAAUCUCCAAGCUUAACUUGGAAAUGGCAUCGGAUACUAUUCGGCUCGAGGAAUGGAGGGGAGACUGGAAUGCUUGGUGUAGCAGUGAAAUGCGUAGAUAUCAAGUGGAACACCAGUGGCGAAGGCGAGUCUCUGGACAUUUCCUGACGCUGAGGCACGAAAGCCAGGGGAGCAAACAGG